UACGUAGGUGGCAAGCGUUGUCCGGAUUUAUUGGGUUUAAAGGGUGCGUAGGCGGCUUUGUAAGUCAGUGGUGAAAUAUGGCAGCUUAACUGUCAAGGUGCCAUUGAUACUGCGGAGCUUGAGUACAGAUGAGGUAGGCGGAAUUGACGGUGUAGCGGUGAAAUGCUUAGAUAUCGUCAAGAACACCUAUAGCGAAGGCAGCUUACUAGGCUGUAACUGACGCUGAGGCACGAAAGUGUGGGGGAUCAAACAGG
rnacentral:rRNA from 1 species